ACUUUGGGCUGUUUUAAUAGAAGUUUCAUGUAUAUAGUACAGACUUCAGCCUUCUGUUUGCUCAAAGAAUUCAGCAAUCAUGGGGUUUAAAAUGAUUUUUACCAAAAUAUAUUCCUGCUAUUGAGCAUUCUGGGUUCACAGAAGGAACCAUAAAAUGCAAUGGCAACAGAGAAACUCGUUUUGGUAGAUAGGCCUGUUACAAAGAGCAAUGACAAUGCUGGAUAAAUCAAACAGGAGAACAGCAAAAGGUGCACACCAGCUAUGCAAGGCAUUAUUUGCAGAUGAUUCAGGGAAGUUACCCUAAGACAACAGUCUGGUUAACUGGAGCUUUGGGUUGUGGGGGAGGUGAGAAUACUUCCACCGUUAAGACAUGUAUCCAUUGUCAUCCUCUUCGUCUUUAGCACACACUAGCUGCCAACGAAUAUUUGUGUAAUAAAUGGAACACCUGCCAAAACUGUGGGAUGUUUUCAAACAAACUCUAAAAUUCUGUGACGAUCACUUCCGUGCAUGCAGGACCCAUCUAUUGCAAGCUCUGUGGGAGAGAAAUGGCUUGCUUGAAAGUGAAGCAUGGGGCUUCAGUUGGCCAUAGUUCAUUUGGUUGAAUAGUAGGAAAGUGGGAAGAGAAACAAGCUUCUUAGAAAUGGAAGAUCAGCCUCCAGGCUUGACUCCGACAUUAUUGUCUGACAGGUUUCUACCCAACUUCUCCUGUCUCCAUCUGUGGACUUGAUGUACCCGAAGAAUUAGCCAGGGGCAAUUCUGUGGUUUUGACAGGGAAGCUCCGGUAGGGCACCACGUCCUAGUCAUCUUCCUUUUCUCACCUGCACCUGCCAUGCUGCUUCUUUCUUCUCUGCAAAGAUGCAGAGGUCAAAGCACGUUCCUGUGCAGUGAUGAAAAGCUCCCAGGAUCAGCCUCCUGGCUGGCAGCACACCCUCCAGGAUCCAGGGAGUGCCUCUAGGAUUCCUGUGGGUGCGCUCUCAGAUCCCCCCAACUCCACAGCCGCUUCUCUGGCUCCUGUCUGACGCUUAAGGAGCAUCUCAGGGUAGCUACGGUCCUUUGCGCCCUGGGGCACCAGCAGCACUGGCAGGAAAGGGGAUCAGAGGCGGGAAAGGAAAUGGGGGGCGUGAGGGCUCGUAGGCUUCAGCUGCAGCAGCUGCAGCAGCGGGCAGAGGGGUGGAGGGUGCUGAGCAGGGCUGGAGUCGGGGCCAGGAGGGAGGGAGAGAAGGCAACGGGGAGAGGGGGAGGCUGUGCCAGGCAAGCCGGAGGGGUGCUCUGCGCUCCCCCGCCCUCCUUCCGGGAGCGAGGAUGCAGACUCUAGAACUGGCGUUGCUGGGCUGAGGCGGAGGCAGGGGAUUUGCAACGCGCGCGGCUCUGCUAGUGUGUCUCCUGCGAGCCGAGAGGCGGGGGGAGGCGGAGGACCGGGAGGCGGAGGAGGAGGAGGGGGAGAAUGCCUGGAGCUGCCACCGCCGCCGCCGCGAUGCUCCCGGCUCAGGAGGCUGCCAAGCUAUACCACACCAACUAUGUGCGGAACUCGCGGGCCAUCGGCGUGCUGUGGGCCAUCUUCACCAUCUGCUUUGCCAUCGUCAACGUGGUGUGCUUCAUCCAGCCCUACUGGAUCGGCGACGGCGUGGACACCCCGCAAGCCGGCUAUUUCGGGCUCUUCCACUACUGCAUCGGCAACGGCUUCUCCCGGGAGCUGACCUGCAGGGGCAGCUUCACGGACUUCUCCACGCUGCCCUCGGGCGCCUUCAAAGCCGCCUCCUUCUUCAUCGGCCUCUCCAUGAUGCUCAUCAUCGCCUGCAUCGUUUGCUUUACCCUCUUCUUCUUCUGCAACACAGCUACCGUGUACAAGAUCUGUGCUUGGAUGCAGCUCACCUCCGCUGCCUGUCUUGUGCUUGGCUGUAUGAUUUUCCCUGAUGGCUGGGAUUCAGAUGAAGUAAAACGGAUGUGCGGAGAAAAGACAGACAAGUACACUCUUGGGGCCUGCUCUGUCCGCUGGGCGUACAUCCUGGCUAUCAUUGGAAUAUUGGAUGCCCUGAUCCUCUCAUUUCUCGCAUUCGUGCUUGGGAACCGACAAGACAGCUUGAUGGCGGAGGAACUGAAGGCAGAAAACAAAGACGAUGGAAAUGCUUAAGGCAGACUAAGGUAGUGUGAGACCUCACCAUAAAAUGCCUGUCUUCUCUUUCCCUGGACAUGUGGUUCUCUGCCUCCUCAGGAAUGAUGUUUACUUCCCAUGUAGGUGCUAAGAACUGAAAUGACAUUUUGGUGGAUUUUUCUAUUGGUGAGUAUGAAAUAUCCUUCUCUAUCACUUUUGAUUAAUUUUGGUUUGAAGUCUAAUUUGUUAAAUAUUAGAAUAGCUAUACAAGCUUGCUUUUUGGAUCUAUUUGCUUGGAAAAUCUUUUUCCUACUCUAUCUGAGGUAAUGUCUAUCUUUGAUAUAGAGGUGUGUUUCAUGUAUGCACAUCAGCAAAUCAAAAGAAAAAGCACACAUGUGCAUGCACAACAACAGCAACAAAUUAACAGGAAUUAAUAAUAUUGGCCAUUGGUAUCUCUCAAUAUCAAUGAACUCAAUUCUCCCAAUAAAAAGACACAGGAUAACAGAAUGGAUAUGAAAACAGCUCUAUGUUUCUUAUUUAAUAAGACUGUUUAGAAAUUUGACUACAGUUUAUCAUUGAACCUCUUUUUAGACUAAGGAAGCAACAAGUCUCAAAUAUUUUGAAUUGGUAUGGACUUUUUGUAUGAUGAUAAAAAGUUAAAGUUAUAUUUACUGCAACAUACUACAUAUGUGAUUUCCCUCUGGUUUAGAAUAUAAUGUAUAUGAUGAUAAAACUUUAAGGUUAUAAAGGUCUACUCAGAUAAACAAAUGCUGGUUUAAGAUAUAUGUCUAACUACUUAUGUCUUUGCUAACUGGUCAACACCAAGCUACUAGAAAAUUUAGACAAGUAACAACAUAUAUUUGAUAAAUUAGGUGUAUUUGAUAAUCAAGAUUUAUAAACUCCUAAGGUAUACUCAGGUUCACAACAAUAUUGGUCUAGCUUCUUCAUCUUUGUUCAUUUUGUUAAACUUUAGAUAUUUAGAUAAACUAAGCCAAACAAAAAAACUGCAAUAUUCCAUAAUGGUACACUAUAAAAGGAUCAUCAAAGUUGCCAGUCUCUCUAUGAAAUGUAUCUAUAAUUAAAAGUUUUAUUUUGAUACUGGAAGAACUUCAAUUAAAAAAUUGUUAUUUUUAAGGCUAAACCUAAUAAGGAUGGAUGUAAAGUCCUAGUCUUAUAAAAGCUACUAACUUACUGUAAAUUGUUAAGGAUAAUUAAAACAUACAAGUUAAUGAUCAGUCACCUUAUAAAUGAUCAAAUUCUUUAAUGUGUUCAGACUAAUGCAAUUAAGUACAGGAAUAAGGCUUAUUUAGCCUCACGUAUAUGUUUUCAAAGUUAAGCCUGAAACAAGUAACUAGAAUCAAGCAAAAAUUGUUUAUUUUAGAUAUACUUAACAGACAGAUGGUCCUCAAAUGCUUCAGAGAUCUGCUGAAUAUGGCAUUUAAAAUGUUUAGUUAAAAAAAAAAACACCUUUUUUUUGUGAUAGAGAGAAGUGCCAGCUCCUGGAAACACCCCUAAUCUCCUCCAAAGAAGAUGAUGGGGUGCAGAAGAACCUCCACCUGGAGUUUGCUUUAAAUGUGGCAAAGUAGGCCACUGGUUGAAAAACUGCCUUUCACCUCACUGGGUUGUUGAUUGUCUCACUCUGCCUAGACAUAGGAGGUCAAUUCCAUCAAGUUCCUACUCCACAAGAAAGUCUAUUGGAUCAUUUUGACCUCAAAGCUGAAGACUGAUGCUUCCCUGGGACCUCUGUCUCCAAUGACCAUGGAGGAAACUAGGUAGCCAGUAAGUCUCUGUUGUCCUUUUCUUAAAUUAAAAAAAAAAAAAUUAUUGCCUUUAAAGCCACGGCUGUCCAAAUCAUCAACUGCAACUCCACUGCUAUCAGCUACUGCUAGUAGCAAUUAGGCCACAAGGACAUUAGCCAGAGGGAAUUCUGUUCCCUCAGGCUCUGACUCUUGCAAAGCUAUGAAGGGAACUUAACUAAAUCUCUAUCCCUCUAAAGAACUCAAGAUUCAAAGGUUAAAGUGGAAUUCUGCUCUUCAGAGAGGCUGAAUAUCAGGUAGCUCACCUCCUCUCCUUGCUUGUGUUCUCCAAAAAGCCCUCAUGCUUCUCUUUGCCCCUUCUUAAAAACUUCUCCACCUGGCUCCUCCCUACCACUUCCUAUCAGCUAGUUGCUGACUCAGCCUCCUGACCUCAGGUGAAUUUUAUUUACUCAAACACAUCUUUUCAUCAUUAAACAAAUGUUCCAGAGCGUAAACAAAAGUAACACACCUUAAAAUAAUAUUCUGUACCAGGUGGUGGUGGCACACACCUUUAAUCCCAGCACUCGGGAGGCAGAGCAGGCGGAUCUCUGUGAGUUUGAGGCCAGCCUGGUCUACAGAGCAAGAUCUAGGACAGGAACCAAAACUACACAGAGAAACCCUGUCUCGAAAAACCAAAAUAAUAAUAAUAAUAAUAAUAAUAAUAAUAAUAAUAGUAUUCUGCAACAAGUCUUUGUCAUUUUUAAUAGAUUCAGAAGCUGCUUGGUGUAUACUUCCUGCUUACUCAGGUAAGAUUUCUCCUUCUCUGGUCUCUGAUGGCCUUGAUGACUAGGCUAGUGACAGCUUUGUCAGUUUAACAGCAGCAACCAAGGCUUCAGUUGCCUCCUCAGUUCUCUUCACGUGUAAAAAUCAGGCCUUAGGCCUCACUUUCCUAGAAUCACUACUAGGCCUAGACACAGUUUACUUGCCACAAGACCUCCAAAAGCAGAUAACCUCACAAAACAGAUUUCAAAGUAACUUUUUUCUAUUCCUUUAUUUGACAAAACUCACUUUACAAUAAUUGCUCUCAGUAAUCAACCAUCUGUGUCUUGUGGUGAAUGACUGUACAGAAAAAGGUAUAAAGUUUACAUGAGAUCUGAGGAUAUGAAAGCUUUAGUUGUGAUAAGAAAGUGACUUAAGGAAUGUAAAUGCAAUUUGUAAAGGUAUAAGAAAGUGACUUAACCAAUACUUUUAGUCCCAGCACUUGGAAAGCAGAGGCAGUGGAUCUCUGGGUUUGAGGCCAGUUUGGUCUACUGAGUGAUUUCCACAACAGCCAAGGAUACAUGGAGAAACCCUGUCUCAAAAAACUAUUGAAAAAGCAAGAAAGAAAGAAAAGAAGAAAGAAACUUAGGUACUAAAAAAACGAAUGCUUCAGAUUUCUUUCUCCCUCUGUUAUUGUUAUAUUAAGACUUCAAAAGUUCAGAGUUUUAGCAUUAACCAAUGAAGUUUUGAUAAGGUAUUAAUUUAGUUUUGGUAAACUCUGACUACUAUUAUCACAGUCACAAGCUCAUGAUUUUAAAUUUCCUUUGGUUGUCUUCUAAGUAGAGCCUUAAAAGUGCUUCUCAUUGUGCUAAAAAUGUCUGUCUAAUCUACGUACACCCAGUCUUCUGGAUAGAGAAGAAGGCCCUCUUUCAUGGUAUAUAUUUAUACUGACAAUCAAGAUCAAUCCAGCUUUUGCCCUUCUGCUCCAUGGGAAGUUUCUGAACUCUCUGAGUUUGCCUUGAAGAGCAUUCAUGCUUAUUGGUGGAAGUAUUAAGGCAACUCUACAUAGUUAAAAGAGAGGUUUAUUUUGUGGGGUAACUUACAAGUAAAGGGAUAGGUUACAGGGUCCUGGAAAGGUAUUGAGCAGUCCAGUGGUGCUGUCUGAAGAACUCUGCUCAAUCUACCUCCAGCGUCCAGGAUCCAGGAACCAAGAGAGCUGGCACAUCUGGAUCUCAGGUCUUAGGGGCUCCUGUCUUGGCCCCUCACAGGUGUAACAGUUACCAGAAGCCUCAAUGGGGAUAGUACUUCCAGGUCAAAGCUGGAACAGCUAUCCACUACAUCUCCCCCUUUUGUCUAAAUAAGAAAGUUCUAACCUAAUACAAAGCUAUAUACAAUAGGAAUGAUGUAAGGAACACAUGUAAGGCCUAGGGUGAACAACCCUGGUCAGAGGUGAUAAGCAAUAGAAUGAUGUAAGUAAACCACAAAUGGAGUAGUGAUAAGCUAUAAGCUAUGUGUGGAAGUAGGGAUAAGACUAGAAACCCAGCCAGGAAAGAAUAUAAAAGAUGAAACCUCAGAUCUGACCAACAGAGCUUGUCAGGCCCUCACGAGAGACAACUCUCCUCUGCCAGAGACGUGAGAUCCUGUCCCCAGUGCAGACGUGGCUGACCUGAGGAAGGCUGACCCAAGAUCCAGAGGAACAGAUGUGGCAAGUCCGGACCUGUACACCCGGAGAGGUAUUCCUGCUUCCAUUUGGAAGACAGGAUGAAUAUUGCUUGUAAUCUUACUGUGUGAAUAAAUGAGUGUUAUACCAAGUCUGAAUCAAGAGUGAUUAUUCCUCCCCCAUAACCAGGGUAUGUGAUCACUACAAGAAGAAUCUAAAAUGGCCAAGAAAUAAAGAAAUGUUCAACAUACUUAGCCAUCAGGGAAAUAGAAAUCAAAACCACUUUGAUAUUCCAUCUUAUACCUACCAGAAUGGCUAGAAUCAAAAAUACAAGUGACAGCUCAUGCUGGCAAGGAUGUGGAACAAGAGGAACACUCCUCCACUGCUGAUGGGAGUACAAACUUGUACAGCCACUCUGGAAAUCAAUAUGGCAGUUUCUCAGAAAAUUGGGAAUCUAUGUACUUGAAGACCCAGCUAUACCACUCCUGGGCAUAUACUUAAAAGGCACUCCAUCCUAUUACAAGGACAUUUGCUCAACUAUGUUCAUAGCAGCCAGAAACUAGAAACAACCUAAAUAUCCCUCAACCAAAGAAUGGAUAAAGAAAAUGUGAUACUUAUACGCAAUGGAGUAUACUCAUCUGUUAAAAACAAUAACGUCAUGAAAUUUGCAGGCAUCAUGAAAAUCAUCCAGUGUGAGGUAUCCUAGACCCAGAAAAAUAAACAUGUUAUGUACUCACUUAUAAAUGGAUAAUAGCUGUAAAGUAAAAGAUAGCCAUGCUACAAUCCAAAAAUCCAGAGAGGCUAAGUAACAAGGAGGGCUUAAAGGAGGAUUCAAGGAUCUCCCUGGGAAGGGGAAAUAGAAUAGAUUUCUUGGGUGGAUUGGGCACAGGUGGGGUUGUGAACUGAAUGGAUCAGGUGGGUGAACGGAAAUACUGGGAGAAUCAACUGCAAUUGGGAGGCAUUUCAGGUAUGAGGUGGAAACCUAGUGCAAUGGAAAUUCCAUGGAAUUUACAAAAAAACCUAUCAAAGACUCCUAGUAAUAAGGGUCAUGGAGUCUGAAACCGGUCAUCUCCUAUAACCAGGCAAGGCCUCAAGAGGAAUGGUUGAGACACCAACUCAGCCACAAAAUUUUCGACCUACCUGAAGAGUGUUCUGGGACCGGAUCUUGCAGAAUAGUCAUCAAAGAGACUAGAAAGAUUCCAUCCAGCAACUGAUGAGAGCAGAUGCAAAGUCCCACAGCCAAAUAUUAAGCAGAGCUCAGGGGAAUCUUGUGGAGGAUGGGGAGGGAGCCAGCCUUGAUGUGAUGGUACGUGCCUGGUCUUAUUGUAACUUGUUAUGCCAUGUUUGGUUGAUGUCCCUGGGAGACCUACUCUUUUCUGAGGGGAAGCAGACAAGGGGGGGGGAUCUGACUAAGAGGGGGAGUAGGGGUAAGGGAGAAAGGGGAAACUGCAAUCAGAAUGUAAUAUAUGAGAGGAGAAUAAUUUUUGGCCAUUGAUCUGUACUGAGGCCAAGCUGUCAUAAUAAAAUGAGUCCAUGGAGGAAGAGAGAUAUUAAAUUCCCCUCAGGGGCCUGCCCUGAGGAGAUUUUUCCCAGAGUUCUAGGGAAGACACUACAGGGGCUGGGAUACUAAUCUGAGGGAUAUCAAAUGUAUCUACAUACACAAAACUCUUUAGUCCACUCACUUUAUUCUUCUAAGUCAAAAUCUCUCUACACAGCUUCAGUUCUGUUCUCAUACUUAGUUCCUCUCUAUCCCUUCCUCUCCUGUCCUCUCAUUGUUCUAUCUACAUUCCUUCAUCUUCAUUCCUCAUCUUAGUUCAUUCUUCAAGUCCUCUCAAGUCUCUGAGGCUUUCAGUUAUAGACCCAUACAAAGCAACAAUUCUCUGGCCAAGCAGGGUCAUCCAGGCUUGAAUUAUUCCAGGAUCAUAAAGGCAGAUAAGAGUUUACCUCUGGCAGUGACUGUCAGGCUUUCUUUUACAACCCAAAAAGGGAGUGGUUAAAGGAUGUGGGGUCAAUUAAGACCUAAAAUCAGUUAAUAUGUCAGAAAAAGGGAACUUAUGUGCUCAAACUACAUUCCUAGAAGUGGUUAGGUAAAAUGUUAGGAGUUUACAAUGUUAGUAUAAAUCAUGAGUAAAAAUAAAACUGCCUAUAUUUCUUUAGGGGCCAUAACUGUCACUGUAAAACUCGGCUACAUUAUUAUCUGGCAGGGUAGGGGUAGCUAGGCAGCCUGUGUCACAGCUUAAUGUAUCUGGUAUGCAAAGGCCCUUUUGUUCUAAGUUAAAUGUCAAAUAAGAAGUCUAGAGAUACCAUUAAGGCUGUGUAAGAAAGAAGGGUAUGAUCUUAAUUUGCACAAGAAACAAAGCUAUGAACCUAAUGUCCACCUGGCCUAGGAAGUGUCUCUGUAUGGACAUUUAUCUUAAUUCAGGAGAGUAGCAGGUGGUUUGGAAUUCUUAUUCUGUCUGCCAUUUGUCCUUGGAUGUUUGAGAGGUAUCUCAGAUAAAAUGCUUUUGUCCAGAGCUGGCCCUGGCCUUGGAUGCUAGCUAAAGGGGAUAUCUGUUUCUAAUGCUAAAAGGAAAACAAAAAACCAGGAAGAAGGAAGUCUUGCCUGUGUGACAGUUAUCCAAAUACCUAAUUGUAUAGGGAAAAACUAUGCCCAAAGAAUGAUCAAUAGCACACAGCAAAUUUACAGCAGGAAACAGCUAAUAUUCAAAAAGCCAAUAUCACCAAGACUCCGAAAGACUUGGCUUCUCUGGAAGGCCCUUGGCCUUUUCCAGAUAUAGCUUUAUCAUAGUCAGCUGAAUUCCUAUUUCAUAUUUCUGUGUCUUGUAGCAGAGAGAGAGGAAGUAUGAAAGUGCAACACAGGUGUGUUCCUAUAAGCUCAAAGUUGAUGCUGCAGGAUGCAAGCUGGAGCAAGGAGAGAGCAGGAGAGAGGAAAGAUAUCCACAUGGGUGCAGAAGGCUGCAGGAGCCAGAGCUGUGUGGAAGGCACACUGGGUUUGGGAAGGCAUCAGCUGAAGAAUCAGACUCUAGAAUCUGGAAUCAAAUUCACAAACAAAUGAUCAGUACAUACCUUAGGAGAGUUAGAUCAGCAGCUUGAUUCAGAGCUGACACUGUGGGAAGAGCAGGUGUGUGCACCUGCAGCUGGCUUGCUCCUUUGCUUUUCCCCCUGUCUCUGCUAGGUCCAACUCCAGCUCCAGCUCCCACUUCACAACAAACUUACAAAUCCAUCAGCCAUAACUUAAAGACAGGGCAUUUAUACAAUAUUGGGAGGAAGACCAGACAAAAACAAACAGGGCUUAGAGUGAAGAAAAAAAUAGGAAUGGGGAAUUUUUUUGCCAUUCACCUAUCUCUUGCAGUAUUUGUAAGGGUACAGGAUAAUAUUGGGAUCUAGGGUACUGUUAGUCGGCUACAUUUGAAUUGAUUAUCUAAGGGAUAUUGAAGCCAGAUUCAACUGGAAGAGUGGAUAAGUUUAGAGGCCCUUAAGUUGGGCACUAGGUAGAAUGGCUGGAGGUUCUCCAAAGGGCAUCCCAAGGGAGAGCCUGGAGGUCCAGUCAAGGACAUAGUUCCCAUGGGUGAGGUAGAAGAGAAGGUCUAAGGAUGGAAGUCCAAGGCAUCCUAAGGACUUGUGGAGGAACAAAUAAAGGCACAAGUUGAACAGUGAGUCAUCACCUAACAGUUCAAGGAAACAUGGAUGAAUGCCUAGUACCAGAACUUUCAAAUGAAGCCAUAAGGUGAAACUGAGCUGAAAAAUGAAGUCUCACCCAAGGGAAAUGGUCAGAAGUGGGUGUCAGUGAAAAUGGUCAACGGUAGCCUUAAAGUCCAUGGCUGGGGGUACCUCCACCUCCAAGAAUACCAGAGGAGUGCUGGACACUUUGGUCACAGGAUUUAGUGGCAGGGCACCUUGGCAGGUCCAAGCCAAAGUAUGCUGCAUAGGUCAUACCACACAACAGAUCUCACCUAAGAGGCUUAUUGAGAGAAGGGGGAGCAAAAGGCUUUCUCAGAGUAGAGACAUGAGAGAUAGAGAUAGAGACAGACAGACAGAGAGACUGGAAGACAGAGAGAAUGAGAGAGAGCAAUCUGAGAUGGUGGGGACCUUUUAAAGGGUUGACAACUAAUGAUGAUGUAGCUGCUGAGUCACUGAGUUCCUGAGGGGCAGACUGACAGAGCACCUGAUUUAUAACACAUGGAGAAAUUAAGUUGGUAAUGACUGGGAAAUUUCCCCCUGCUGCCUAGCUUUUCAUAGUACUGGAAGGUGCUAUGUUGGCUGCUGGCAGGGAGAAGUAAUCAAUAGUCAUCCAGCUGUGGACCCUGUGAAUUGCAAUAACCAACUGCUUUCUGCCUGCUCAACAGGAGGAAACACAUGCUUGGUACUAUAAAUUUGGCAAAGAACCCAUGGUUAGGUAGCUCACAGAUCCAAGGGUGAACCUACUACUACUAUUAUUCUGUUAAAUAGACAUAUAUCAAACUGCUCUCUGAAUUUGUAUCUCUCUGCCCAUAGAUGAAUUAGUAUAGCUCUCAGUCUUCAUUAGACAAGUUUCUUCACAUAGUGCAUGGUGGUUUACACUUACCGCUGAUCAAAGCAAAGAGAAUAAAUGUUAUUGGAGUACUCAACUGCAAAUGUGACAGGUAUUUUACCACCACCCCAAGGCUCAGUGACCAUUGUGGAAGACAGAGAGGAAGGACUGUAACAGCCAGAGGUCAGCAAGGACCAGAGCAAAAGUAUCUUCUGGACAUGACGAAGCCACUGCACUAUGAACUCACUGCAGCAGUGGGACCACUGCACUAUGAACUCACUGCAGCAGUGGGACCACUGCACUAUGAACUCACUGCAGCAGUGGGACCACUGCACUAUGGACUCACUGCAGCAGUGGUGACUACUGCACUAUGGACUCACUGCAGCAGUGGUGACUACUGCACUAUGGACUCACUGCAGCAGUGGUGACUACUGCACUAUGGACUCACUGCAGCAGUGGUGACUACUGCACUAUGGACUCACUGCAGCAGUGGUGACUACUGCACUAUGGACUCACUGCAGAGGGGUUACCUGCAUAGACCUGUAUACAAUCAAGGUAGUCAACAUUCCAGAAUGAAAGAGGGAUGGGGUUACAAGCUCCCACCCCUAACUGAGGAGCAGUUGAUGAUUGACAACCUCUGAGGAAGGGAAUCUUUAAGGGUAUGGUUGCUGGUAGGUUGACCAUUAUCCAGUGAUGGCCCAAUACACAAGAUCAGGAAGGAAUUUCUGAAAAGGACUCAAAUAGCUCAGGAAAUAGCCUCAGAAACUAACGAAUGAGAAUGCAUGGAAUUAAAAGGCUUUGGAACAGAAUUAAAAAAAAAAGACCUUAGUUAAGAGACGGACUAAUUAAGAGAUAGAAUGGGAGAGAAUCUUUGCCAACUGCGCAUCUGACAAAGGAUUUGUAUUUAAAAUCUAUAAGUAAUUCCAAAAAUCAAACAUCAAAGAAUCAUACAAUUUAUAAAUGGUCAAAUGAAUAAACACACCAUUCUCAAAAGAAGACAAAUGGCUGAUAACUCCAACAGCCUGUGUUCAAUUUCCAGAUCUCACAUAAUAGAAGAUUAAAAAACUAGUGCACACAAGAUGUCCUCUGACAUCCACACUCACACUGUGGCACCACCCCAGCAAACAUACAUACAAUAAACAAACAAAUUUUCAGAUUUGUAAGCAUUUGUGUGUGUGCCUACACACACACACACACACACACACACACACACACACACACACACACACAUACACACGUGCAUGUGCACCCAUGCAUGCUUGUGUGAGCUUAUGUGUGCUACUUGUGUGCAGGUAUCCUUGGAAGCCAGAGGGUCAACUGAUGGUGCUGGGACCAAACCUAGAUUCUCUGCAAGAGCAGUAAGUGCUCUUAACUUAUGAGCCAUCUCUCCAGUCCCCUGUAAUAAAUUUAUUUAAAAAGAGAGUGAGGAGAGAACAAGAGGGUAAUGGGAGUGGGGAGAGAAAGGUAAUAUAGCACCUGUUUUCUACCAUACUUGGAAUUAGAGUUAAAUAUUUAUGUAUUUACACACAUAUAUGACAUGAAAGCUGAAGGGGACAGUGAGAAGGGGAAAGAAUGGACACCAGUAGGACAGGGUAUGAAUAUGAACAAAACAUAAUGGUAGAGCUGGAGAGAUGGCUCAGAGGUUAAGAACACUGACCGUUCUUCCAGAGGUCCUGAGUUCAAUUCCCAGCACCCACAUGGUAGCGUAUAACCAUCUGUAAUGAGAUCUGGCUCCCUUUUCUGGCCUACAGGGAUACAUGCAAACAGAACACUGUAUACAUAGUAAAUAAAUAAAUCUUUAAAAAAAAGACAUAAUGGUAUAUAUGUAUGUUAUUUUGUGUACUAACUAAAAAAUUUAAGACAUUACAUGAAUAUCUAAAUACUAUAACAUUGUAAGUGAAGACAUAAGAAAGUAAAUAUUAAAAAAAUACAACAGGCUGAGAUGGUUUGAUUAUAUGGACCUUAAUCUCAGAUUUGCUAGUCACUGGCUUUGUGGAUUUAAGAAUAAUCACUUAUGCCAGGUGGUAGUGGUGCACACCUUUAAUCCCAGCACUCUGGAAGCAGAGGCAGGUGGCCAGGCCAGCCUGGUCUACAGAGUUCCAGGACAGCCAGGGCUAUGCAGAGAAACCCUGUAUCAAAAAAAAAAAAAUCACUUACCUAUCUAUAAUGAAGUUUUUUUUUUUAAGGUAUGCUUCAAACAGUUGUACAGACCAAUGAAUCACUUCUCCAUUUUAGCUAAGAUUCCUUACCAAGUGAUGAGGGGUGGGGGCGUGAUACUUAGUGUAGGAAGAACACUCCAUUUCUAACAUAUACUCGAUAUGCAUGCUUUUAUAUGGGGACUAGAUGCUGUCUAGUCUGGCUUACAGACUGAGCUACAAUGUGACAUGUACUGGAAGAUACUGAGAAUGUAGUUUGGGAGGUAUAGUGCUAUUAUUGUUUUAGUUAGGUCUGUGGUGCUAAGGAUUAAACUCAGGGAUGGCUGAAGCAUAAUCACUUGAGCUGGACAACACAACUUUAUCUAAAAAACAAAGCAGGGGGCUGGGGUGUGGCUCUUCAACAUGCUGGAUUUGAUGACACUGUCCUCGUGGUCCACGAGGAGAAAAAGUGGCUGAGAUGAGGAACCUAGCCUGUCUGACAUAUGAAGGAAAUGAGACCACAAACAAUAAACUGGCUUGCCUUGUGUGGUGCUAACCGACAUUGUUUAUUAGUUCAUCUCAUUUCUCACAAUGCUAUGAAGUAGUAUUCAUCAUCCCCACCCCAUGAAGGAGUUACCUAAUACUGUGUAAGUUCAUACAGAGGAGAGCAAAGCUCAGAGCACUUAAAUAACUUGACCAAAGGAAGAGCCUUGAAACCAAACAUAAACUUCCACUAGCUAAUUCAUGAUACCCAUUCACUCUGUACAACAUUUCCUGGCACCUAGUCAGGUCCCAAGCCACCUGAACACAAAUCUCUUAGAAACGAUAAACUCAACUAGUUCAAGCUAAUAUUGUCAACAGAAGAUACCUGAAUUAACCCCAAAGUAAUGAUUCUUAAUGUUAAGGAGCCAAGGUCCCCUCUGAUAAUAAUUGGGGUUCCUCUCCCCCAGAAAGAUGUAUACAGACACACAACUACAAAAGUGUGUCUAGAAUUUCAAGGAUCUCCUCAAGCUAAGGGCAGAAUCUUUGUUAUUUGGCUAGCUGGUGUUUUAGUGAUGGAGAUUGAACCCAAGACUUCACUCCCUAACAUCACAAUUCCAGAGCUAGACACCACCCUUCCAAGUUCAAAAAGACUACACCCUGGACGGUCCUUCCAGCCCAUUAGCAGAGUCAGCAGGGAUAGGAUGGGAAAAAGCUCUGCCAGCAGAUCCCUAUGCAUUUUACUGAAUAAGCCCCUGAGUUCUUGCAAGCUGUGUGGGAUCAGGAUUCUAAUGCUUUCCUUAAGCCAGGACAGAGCAGGAACAGCUGUGAGUGGGACCUCCUGGAGAAAGCCUCUGUAGCCAGCUGGUGUUGCUGCUGAGCUAUGAACUGUUAGGGGCACUCACUAUCUGCUGAGGUUCUCCGAGGUCACCUCAGCCUAGAGACAAGAAAAAUAGGGAAGUGAGAUCACAGUGACUGGCUUUCUUGCCCCUUACUGUGUUUAGCAGUAGCUUUUUCCAGUCUUAUUUUCUGCUGCUCAAGGACCAAAGUGCAGAUAAUGAAACAUGAUUAAAGAAUGAGUUUAGACGAAGGUUCAAAUCUUAGAUUCUCUCCUCAGUAACGGAAAUGAAGGUAAGUUACUUAGCAUCUCUGAAAAGGUGUCUGCUCUAAAAAAGCAUGGACACUAAAACUCAUAUUGCGAAUAUAAGUGAGAACUCAAUAAGAUACAAUGAUACCUGAACAAUAAACAAUCACUAAAAACAGACCUUGUAGUUGUCAGAUCUUAAAGAAACUCAAGACAAACAGCUAACUGAGGCACCUAUUUAAUAUCAAAGUGGACACUAGCAACCAACCAGGUUCUCCCAGCAUCUCUCAGUGCCUGUUACACAGUCUUGGCUCUUCCCAGCACUUCACACACACACACACACACACACACACACACACACACACACACACACACACACACACACAAAACCUACCCUAAACCUCUCCAGGCCCUAAGCUUGGCUUCUCUUUCAUAUGUGAUCUCAACUGUUUGGGUUACACGCUCUCUUGGUGCUCUUGUAUCUGUUCAUGGCCUCUUGGUUCCUCUCUCUUCCUUUCUCACCUCCACAACCCCUGUGACCAGAUCUAUUCUACUGGCUUGAUCCAGUUUGGACCCUUCCAGAUACCUCUGGCUGUGCUCUCCCUCAUGUCUACAAUAAAACCCUCCUCAACCAUACCUAGGAGCAGUGAUGUCCUCAUUUUCAUUCAGUGGUGUUUCUGGAUAUCAGUUUCCACCAAUAUUACUAGGAGAGUCUGCUCAAGUCCUGGACUCAAGUGGUAUUGAGACCGCAAAGAAAUAAGGAGCGAUCUAUAUACAUCCUAUCCUCUAUAAGUUACAAUAAAUGACUUCUUUGGGCUUCACACUUUGUCUGGCACAGUGCUUGACAAUCAGUGAACACUGACAGGUACUUGCAAAAAUAGUAAAGGAACUUGGGGAAAGCCAAGGUCACUUUAAAAGGUUCAAUGAACUUCCUGCUAUUGUCAAAGUAAGGACUCCCUUAAACUAUGACUGUCUUAAAGGAACAGAGCACUCUGCAGAGGCUCCCUGGAAUAACUAACUCCAGCCUCCAUAGGAGGUAUGUCUGGAAAAUCAGAUGUUUGAAUUUUUAUUCCACUUGUAUGUCUGUCUACCACAGGCAUGCCUGGUGCCCCUGGAAGCCAGAAGAGGGCAUCGGAUCCUCUAGGACCAGAGCUACAGAUGGCUGUGAGCUUCUGUGUGGGUGCUAGGUAUCAAAGCUCUGUCCUUGGGAAGAGCCGUUGGUGCUCUUAACCCCUGGGCCAUCCCACUAGCUCUCCUGCAUAUUUACAAGGAACAGAUCUGAAGAGGAUUAACAAUUUAAAAAAUAUACUAUAGACUUAACAAAAUCGAAUAUAAGACUUUUGAGGAAAGAGGAGAAAUGGACCUGUCAGCCAUAGAAUAGACCCCAGUUACUGUGUAAAUUACAAUGGUUUGAUUUGUUUAGAGGGGAGAUAGGUGCCUCCAUAUCCCAAGUGCUGAGAUUAUAGGUAUACAUGCCACACUAAAUUAUUCAACAACUAUUUGACAGCAAAUAAAUGGUUUGAGAAUGAUGAGAGGACUCAGAAGGUAAAGGUGCUUGCUGCCAAGUAUGACAACCUGAGUUCUAGCCCUGGAGUCACAUGGUGGAAGAGAAGUGACUCCUGAAGGUUGUUUUCUGACCUAUACACACACACACACACACACACACACAGAUACACACACAAACAAAAAUGCGACACACAUGAAUCCAUACACAUAAAUAAAUAAAUAAAUAAAUAAAUAAAUAAGUGUAAAUUUUAAAAUAAUAAAUGGUUAAUGUGUCUAUUAUAACUCCCUGAAAGAAAAUACUGCCUGAAGAGAGAUGACUAAACCAUCCCAAAUGUGGGACAUACUAAUGUGGCUUAAUGUAUUCAGAGUAAAUGUCAUAAAAAUAAGAAUUGGGGGUCCUCAAGACCAUAAAAGACAACAAAGGCAUUGAGGAGAUGUAGCCAUUUGUAAUACAUGAAUUUUGAUGUUUCUGGUCUGAAGGAAAUAAUUCUAAGACAUUUUGAAGACAGUGUAAGAAUUCUGGGGACUGGAAAUACAGCACAGUGGAUAGUGUGCUUGACCAGCAGCACAGGCAAAGUCCUGUGUUUUAUUCCCUAGGACCAUAUAAACCAAGAGUAAUCAUUGAAAAGUUUCUGCACUCUGAUAAGCCUCUCUGCUGACACAGCAAUCCAAAUCAGACUAAACCAGACCAAAUUUGAAAAAACCCUGAUUUAAUGGGUAAAGCAUUCCCGGGUGAUUCUCUGGCCCCCCAGAGAGGAGACAGGGAUGCAGUUUAAAUACCCUUUGGGAGUGGUCUUGAGCAUCUCUGAGGAAGGAGCUGUGUUUAGUGGGACUUUCUGUGGGGUAGGGUCUGGGCACAGAGGUGGGGUUUCCACCAGAACAUUUCAGACUCUUUGGGUAUAGGGGUGCUGAUUCAAAUCUAGCUACUUCCUGCGUACAUGGGGUGAUGUGGAAAGGGGAGGAGUCAGGAGGUGGUGGCCCACAUACAGCAGGAGGUGUGAGUGGAGGAGCAUCUGGUUAAUUGUCAUCCUGGAGACCUCAGAGCAUCUGUUUCUUGAGGAAGCAGGGAAGGCAAGUUGCUAGGGAAAAAAUAGAUCAUUAACAUCUGCCCUAGUUGUACUGUAAAGAUGAAUGUACAGAGCAGAAGAGCAGAUAGGCCCUUCAUUGGGACAUCUUGGGAAACUGGAGGGUGGAGGGUCCCAGCUGCUGGACAGACCAUGUAUCCUGAAUAGGUGCCCACUUGAGCCUGGAGAGGUGGUACCAACAUGGAUGUCCCAGGAGCUUGAUAGCCGAGGGGGUGGUGAGGAUCACAGUAUAAGGUCCUGUCCAUCAGGGCUCGAGAGUCUUAGGAGCUAGCUGUUUGAGGAGUACUCUGUCCCCUGGGGAGAAUGGGGCAGGCUUAGGGGCAGUGGGUCUGUUGGUGUGGGGGCAGGAAGAUAGCUGUCAGCAUGUGAACAGAAAAAGGACCUCAGAAGAGAGAGAUAGGGGAGGUACCCAGUCAGUGGGGGAGUUUGAGCUGGGAGGUGAUGAUUGCAGAAGGACCUUCUGUAAGGGAGCUCAAAAGGGCUCAGGCCUAUAGGAGAACAUGGGGUAGUCCAGAGGCAGAUAAAGGCAAUGGGGGGAAGUGAGGGCCAAGAUAACCUGAGUUCAGUGGAGAGCUUAGUGAGCUGUUGUUUGAUGACUCCAUUGGCCUUCUCAACCUUUCCCAAGGUUUGUGGGCAAUAAGGAAUGUGAAGCUUCCAGGAAAUGUUGAGAGCAUCCCAGCACAAGCUCCAUGACCCUGGAAGUGAAGGCUGGCCCGUUGUCCAUUUGUAUUUGGUCUGUGGCAAGCCAAGUCUAGGAAUGAUAUGUUCCAGGAGUACUUGGGCCACCAAAUCUGCUGUUUCCCUUCCAAUCCUUGCCCAGUUGGUAUCCUCAAAGCUGGUGCAGAGGCUGAUAUAUCUGGAGGGCCUCCUGUGGACUGGCCUUGGCACACACCUGUGAAAUACUCAGAAGAGAGUAUAGUGGCCAAAGUGAGUGUGGUCCCCAAACAGCUGAGAAUAUUACCUGCUGUGGGAUGUUCUGUAUGUCAAAUAUGUUGCUCUGAUUUGUUAGUAAAUAAAACACUGAUUGGCCAGUAGCCAGGCAGGAAGGAUAGGCGGGACAAGCAGAGAAGAGAAUUCUGGGAAGUGGAAGGCUGAGUCAGAGAGACAUUGCCAGCCGCCAUCAUGACAAGCAGCAUGUGAAGAUGCCGGUAAGCCACGAGUCACGUGGCAAGGUAUAGAUUAAUAGAAAUGGAUGAAUUUAAGCUGUAAGAAUAGUUAGCAAGAAGCCUGCCAUGGCCAUACAGUUUGUAACCAAUAUAAGUCUCUGUGUUUACUUGGUCAGGUCUGAGUGGCUGUGGGACUGGUGGGUGACAGAGAUUUGUCCUGACUGUGGGCCAGGCAGGAAAACUCUAGCUACAAAUGGCGUCCAACGUGGUGGCAAGAGUUUCCAUCUAAAAACUGAGAAAAAAGAUUCUAAAAUGGAGCUAAAAACAGCUUCCUAAUUGUCUCUCUCAAAUGAGCGGCAGCUGCCGAUUUGAGCUACUGUGGCGGGAAUGAGGCCUCUGCAAGUGGCACAUUAAGCUGCAUAGCGGAUUUAGACUUUGCUAGUACAAAACAAAAAAAGAGGUUUCUGGACUGCACACUACUUGGAUAAAAGCAUAGACCCACGAUAGCUCCCAGAGCUGGCAGUAAACCACCACCAUGUUGGGAAGCUUAGGUGGGCAGAGCUAGCAGCCAUAGCUGCUGCAGUUUAAAGCAAUAGAUUCACAAUAAGACAGAUUCAGAUGUAAUAGUUUACAAUGUGUGUAAAAAUGUACGUAGGCUUGAAAGAGACAAAAAAGGUGGUAUAUACAGUUAUAGAAACAAAUACAUAGUUUUAAAAAAUAAAGUCUUUAAAGAGACAGUAAAAUUAAUAUAAAAAUAAGCCACAUGAAGAUGAAUAUUACACAGAGAAUCUGGAUUGUGUUGUCUUUGGGAUUUUUAACUGCAGAAAAACAUUUGAUUGUAAAAGUUGUUGAGUUAUGCCAAAAUGUAUAUUUUAAAGGUACCUUGACUUCAAAAUUUGGAUAUAAGGAUAUGUUGCUUUGGAAAGGAGACUCUGCUUUUGUUCCCACAGAAAGCCAGAGGCUAUGGAUUUGUUCCAGAUUAAAAUACAUCAGGUUUGACCAGCCAAGACCCCCUGAAAGGUGUCCGAUGACACCAUGGCCCAGAUGAUCCAACAUCCAGAAUGGUUUGAAGGCAACUGGCUCAGACGAUACACCCUCAUGGACUAUUCCAUAAUCCUAAAAUUUUCUUUAUGUCCCCAUAAGAUACAGUGCCCCCCUCCAGCAGGAAGUAGUAAGAGAAGCUACGCCCAAAUUCCCAAAUUAUAUGUAAUUUUACUUUGUUAAGGUUAAAACCUUCCUUUUUGAAAAAAAAAAAAAGGGAAGUGCUGUGGGAUGGUCUGUAUGUCAAGUGUGUUGCUGAUUGGUCAAUAAAUAAAUCACUGAUUGGUCAGUGACUAGGCAGGAAGUAUAGGCGGGUCAAGGAGGAGAAUAAAGCUGGGAAGUGGAAGGCUGAGUGAGAGAGACACUGCCAGCCGCCAUGAUGAGAAACAGCAUGUGAAGAUGCCAGAAGCCACGAGCCAUGUGGCAAGGUAUAGAUUUAUAGAAAUGCAUUAAUUUAAGCUAUAGGAACAGUUAGCAAGAAGCCUGCCACGGCCAUAUAGUUUGUAACCAAUAUAAGUCUCUGUGUUUACUUGGUCGGGUCUGAGCGACUGUGGGACUGGCAGGUGAGAGAGAUUUGUCCUGACUGUGGGCCAGGCAGGAAAACUCUAGCUACAAUUACCUCCAAGCAAAGUGUGGGGCAAGCACGUAUGACUAGAAAAAGAAUGUGAGAAUCACCCUGCAAGAAUGGGAAGUGACAGGGUCUUAAAUGGGAAGGAAGGGAUCCCACCUACCCCUGUGACAGAAAUUGGCAAGGAAACUGUAGGACCUGAGUCAGAUAUCAAAACAGAAUAGGUAACUCCCAUGUCCAAGAGAAAGUCAAUGGACUUACCUGCAGCAUCACCCUAGGCUCAAAGAGGGCAAUAGGAGUCAACAAAUCUAGGCCUUGUCAGUCCUCUACCAGGUUUAGAAGUUCAAAGGCUGGAAGAGUCUUAGUUGCCAAUGUUGAUGAGGCUGGAGCUCUGUGGUGUGGCAUAGAGAAUGAGCCUGCAUGGGGGCAUUCAGAUCUCCAGUGUCCAGGCUGUCAGCAGAGAGGGCAUGGCCUCCUAGGUGACUUGGAGGAGGCAAUGAACCAUGAGGUCUCCUCUGGCAGCCAUUUAGACCUGGUUGGUAAUUCCAGUAGGGCUCUGUAGCUGGCACCACCGUGUCACCCACAGGGACCAAAUUGUCCACUAGGUGGGUUUGUUCUUCAUACUGCCUAGCUGCUGCCUAAACUCAAGUUCGCUCCUCAGGAGUGAGAGUAAAGGCCUGGAUCACAUAAAAGUCAUGCCAGGUCAGAUCGUAGGCCUGGGACAGAUAAUAGAACUCCUUGAUAUAAACAGGAUUAGCACAGAAGGAACCCCAUUGCUUUUCUAUUUGUGAAAGAUCCUGAAGAGAGAAGGACUCAUCACUUGGACAAUUCCAUCAUCUCCAGGUAUCUCUCAGAGAGGGCAAAGUAGGGUAGGAGCCUGGUGAGACUGAGUAUGAGAAGAAACUGGGGAAAAUUCGGGGCAUUAGUCCAGUGUGUAGAAGGGGACCAGGAUGUAGGUUGAGGCAUUGGGGGAUAGAGGAGAGCAGUCUAAGGAAUACUGGCCACUGAAUGGAACAUGUCUUUUUACACUUGUUUUUUUUUUUUUCUUUUUUUUUUUGUUUUGUUUUUUCAGACAGGGUUUCUCUGUAUAGCGUUGGCUGUCCUGGAGCUUGAGCUUGUUUUGUAGACCAGGCUGGCCUUGAACUCACAGAGCUCCAUCUGACUCUGCCUCCUGAGUGCUGGGAUUAAAGGCAUGUGUCACCAUCACCCAGCUGGCUUUUACUUUCUAAAUGUUAAUUAACAUGUUGUUGCAUAGUUAGACUGCAGAACAAUUUAUAAGAUACUUUUUUUAAUGUACAUUAUUUAAAAUGUUCUCAGUAAAGUUAAAGGAUUGCCUUAUGCCCCAUCCAGUGGGAAAUAAAAUCAUAUCACUACAGACAAAAAAAAGGAAAAAUAAAAGAAAUGUGGAUUGAUUAGCUAAAAUAAAGAAGUAUUUAUUGUUCAAUGUGAUAAAAUAGUUUAUGUAAAAGAAUGUUUUUAUUUACUCAUUUAUUUUUGUAUCUAUAUCCUGAAAGGAUUCCAAAAUUAUGUUUACUACAUAUACAUAUGCAUGCACAUACACACACAUAUACAUACACAUAAAUGACACUUGACAAAUAUCAACCAGUUUUGAAUUAAAGUAGAAGUUGCUACACAGGUCUAUGUAUGUUUGAAUUAUUUACAUGGUAAAAGGAAAAGGAAACACUAGGAAAAAUCCUAGUGGAACUUAUACCCUAUACAUGUGUGAUGAUUUAAAUGAGAAAUGUUCCCCACAGUCUUAGGCAUUUUAAUACUUAGUCUCCAAUUGGUGACAGUGUUUGGGGUGUCUUAGGAAGCAUGGACUUGCAAGGAAAUAUGUCAGUGGGAUCAAGUACUGAAUUUUAAAAGCCUUGUACCAUUUCAAGUUUACUUUCUCUGCUUUCUGCUUGUAAUUUUAAGAUAUGAGCUCUUGCUAGGCAAUGGUGGCACACACUUUUAACCCUAAACUCAGGAGGCAGAGGCAGAUAGAUUUCUGAGUUUGAGGCCAGCUGGUCUAUAGAGUUCCAGAACAGCUAAGGCUCUACAGAGAAACUCUGUCUCAAAUAAUAAAACAAAAGAUGUGAGCUCUCAGCUUGCUACCUCAGUUCCAAUACCUACCAUAAUGAUAAUAGACUCUUACCCCUCUUGAACUAUAAACCCAAAUAAGCCCUUCCUCCUAUAAGUUGCCUUGGUCAUGGUGUUCUAUCUUAGCUAAUACAGCAUGCAGAGGAAGAGCCUGACUACACCCUCACUACACCAGGCUGAGAAAGAUGAAUUUACAAGGUGAGCUGUGUUUCUCAAAACAGUUCUAAGCUAGUCCCCCAGUAAAAUUUAUCUGAGGAUCAGAGGAAAGAGCCAGCCACUAUAGUAAACAUAGAAGUCAGGCAAUGUUAGCACACACCUUUAAUCCUAUCACUCGGGAGGCAGGGAUCUGUCUGGAUCUCUGUGAGUUCAAAGCCACAGUGGGAACAGAGCCAGUUGUGGUGGUGCACACCUUUAAUCCCAGCACCAACCAUAGAGGUCUGGAGGUCUGUGCAGACAGACAGGAAGUGACAGAGCUAGGCAGGAAGAGGAAGUGAUGUAGCUGGGCUGAGAGAGCAAAUGAAUGAGCAGAACAGAAAGGCAUAUAGGCGUGGGUAUACAGGAAGUAGGUCUCUUUGGAGACUGAAGUGUCAGUGAGGUGAGGUUAGCUUGUAGCUUCUCCAUUCCUCUGAUCUCUCAGGUUUCAACCCCAAUAUCUGGCUCUGGGUUGUUGGUUUUUUUUCCGUCUACACUACAGUCCUAAUGCCAGUAUCUCAGAUUGUAACCAUAACUCUAAAGGUAGGUUUGGUUGGGUUGGAUUUUAGACAUUUAUUCAUAUUGCUCAGACUGGCCUCCAAUCCCUGGGCCCAACCAAUCCUCCUGCCUCAACUUUCUGAGUAGCUAAGAUAUAUGUGCCACAGCACAAAGUUUGAAAAGGUAACUAGCCAGGCAUGGUGGCACAUGCCUGUAAUCCCAGCAUUUGGGAAGGGAAAGCAAGAUGAUCAGGAGUUCAAGAGCAACUGCAGCUACAUAGUGUGUUCAAGGCCAGCCUGGAUUGCAUGAAAUCCUGUCUCAAAAUAAAGUGGUAACUAAAAAAGCAAAGUCACAAAACCUAUGUGACUGGCAUCCUUAGAAGAGGAGAUUAGACAUAGGCAGGCAUCCAGAGAGGAGGGCCUGGAGCAGACCUCCCUCACAGACUUCAGGAAGAACCAGCCCUGCUGACUUCUGGAUCUGCAGCUUCUAUCCCCACAACUGAGAAAUUUGAUUUCUAUUGUUGAAGUCACCCAGUGUGUGGUAUGUUCUUAAGGCAGCCCUGGUGCUUUUAUUUAGGUUACUAUAACAAACGCCUAGGGGGGUUGAUUUAUAAACAACAGAAAUGUAUUGCUCAGAACUCUAUGGGUUGGGAAGGCAUCUGCAGAAUCAGGACUAGGGGAGGGCUGCUCUCUGCCUCACAGACAGUGUCUCCUUGCCUAAUUUACACAUGACAAGAGUGAGCAGAUACCUUCUUAGGUAAAUGGGGGUGGUCUCAUGAUUUGAAAAGGCCAUACCCUUUAAUUCAUUUGGUGUAUUUUACAUUGUAAUGGCAAUACAUUUUAAUAACAUUUGGUGUCAAGUUCCAUUCUAUGAAUUCGAGGGGAUACAGACAUUCAGACCACAGUACCUAACAGAACAAUAUAGAAUUCCUAAUUUGCCAGCAAAGCACUGGGGUAUUUCCUCAUCACUCACUCUAUUUCCCCAUGAAACAAUAGCCUGAUAACUGCAGAGUCCACACAAAGCAGAACCCAGACAGCUGGCACUUGAAGCUCUGACUAUCAGGAAGCAAUGUCCAGGAUCCCCAAGUAUCACCCAUCUGAACAUCUUGAAUUCAACUGUGACACUUGUUGGCCUUCACUUUCCUCUGUGCUUGCUGGGAUUUUUGUCUCAAAAGUUAAUAAGAGAUGCACAUAGUGGUGCAUGCCUUUAAUCCCAGCACUCAGGAGGUGGAGGUAGGCAGAUCUCUGUAAAUUCCAGGCCAGCCAGGGCUACCCAGUAAGCCACUGUUUCAAACAAACAAAAAAGGUUAAUAAGAUAUGGGAGAUAGAAUUGUUAGGUUUCAAAGAAACUCAGGACAAGUGGCUAAUUAAGCUGCCUCUUUAACAUAUCAAAGCCAAUACUGACUAGCAGUCUGCUGCAGUCAUCCUGGCUAGCACACCCUGCACCUACCCUCAACCUCCAGCCCUGAGCCUCACUUUCCUUCCCCCUGGUUCUCUUCAUUGUAUAACUCAGCCAUCUUGGCUACACAUCCCCUCGGUGCUCUUGGUCUCUUGGUUCCUGUGCAGUCUUUUCCUCUUUUCUCCCUCUUCUCUUCCUCUCCUUUUCUCUUACUUUCUCUCCUCUCAUGGCUCAGUUCAGUCUGUUUAACUGGUUCCUUCUGGACCCUUCCAGAUGCCUCUGCCAGUGCUGUUCCUUAUAUCUACAAUAAACCAUCUCCUCAAACAAAUCUAGGAGCAUCAUGUCCCCAUUUUUCAUGCAAAGACAUGCUGGAGAGAAAUAAUAUAGCUUACGGGGGCUGGAGAGUUGGCUCAUCAGUUAAGAGCAUUUGUUGCUCUUGCAGAAGACCUAGGUUCAGUUCCCAGCCCCAACAUGGUGGUAACAACCAUCUGUAACUCCAAUUCUAGCAGACCUUAUGCUCUAUUCUGACCUCUGCAGGCACUAGGCACAUAUGUGGUACACAUACUUACAUGAAGACAAAGAACUCAUACACACAAAAAAAAGUAAAAUAAAUUUUAAAAAAGAAUCUAGCUUAUAAAAACCCCAUAACUAAUAUUUAUAUUAAUAAUGACUAUUUACUAAUAUUUUAAAAUAUAAUUGCUAUUAAGGUAGAAUGCAGUCAUAUUCCAUUAUUGAAUUGUUCAGAUUUGAUAAAUGCACCCCUCCUCUCUUCACAUAGCCUCUCUCGGGAAGGAAAUUCCUCAUAAUCUAGCCAUCAUUGGCUUAGUGCCCAGCAUCCAAAGAGCCUCUGUAAUCUGCUGUGCACAGUCUUGACCUUUCAUAUGAAAAGAGGGGUACUGCCUCUGCUCUAACAAGCUUUUCAAGUUCAUCUCAUUUAGUAUGAUCCCAGCACUGCCAUCUCAAUUGUUUAUGAUACAUUACCUCAUAGCAGCCAAACCACGUACUGUAAACAUGUCCUUUCACGGCCAGUCAGUGGUGGCACACAUCUUUGAGGCGGGUGGAUCUCAGUGAGUUAAAGACCAACCUGGUCUACAGAGUGAGUUCCAGGACAGCCAGGACUACACAGAGAAACCUUGUCUCGAAAAACCAAAAAAAAAAAAAGAACUGUCCUUUCACAUAUGAUAAAACUGGGGCUCAGAGAAAUUACAUAACUAGCCCAAAGCCACAGGCAGUUGAAGGGCAGAGUUUUGAAUCAGAGCUCAGUACUUCCCAUCCUCACCGCUAGCCCAUGGAAGUGUUAGUUAUUUGGCGGCACUCUUACCCUGCGAGGAAAAGUCACGAAACAUGACAGAAUCCACUAACAAGAGUUUUAUUAAGAUAAGAGAGAGAGACAGAUGUUCUCAGGCCUGUUGGAAAGACACAUGCAUAAAAGAGAGAAGCCGGAAAUAUGGCGCAGGCUUAUAAAGGCUGGGUCGCGCAUGCGUACACAGGUUCAUGUGGCUACUCCACACAUGUGCGUAGAUCACAUGAUUGCGCUGAGUGCUUUACGAAACCACGCAAAGCCACGGGGUCCUGGUCACGCGAGACAUUUUGACCUGGAACUGGCUAUUUUUGACCCGGAACUGGCUAGGCGGAAGUGUCUAGGUCCGCUGGGCUUGCGCAACCAUGCCCAACUGUUGGGGCGUAUUGUGAAUCUAUCAGGAAGUCCUUAUCUGUAAUGGGUAUUUGUUUCAUUUAUGACCUAGGGCGUGGCCUCUUGGCUAGCUUAAGACCUGUGGAGCAUGUAUGUGGGUCCCUUCUGUUAGGGGUUGAUUAUAAAUUAUAUUAGGGCUGGGGAUGGAACAAUAAAAUAUAGGCUCAGAAUUCUCUUUUGGAAAAAAAAAAGGGGGGAAAUAGAUAGGAUAGGAUAAUAAGGUAGAUUUUUUUUGUUUUGUUUUGUUUUUCAAGACAGGGUUUCUCUGUGUAGCUUUGUGCCUUUCCUGGAACUCACUUGGUAGCCCAGGCUGGCCUCGAACUCACAGAGAUCCGCCUGGCUCUGCCUCCCAAGUGCUGGGAUUAAAGGCAUGUGCCACCACCGCCCGGCUCUACUUGUAAACUAAAUCAGUAACUAUCCACUUUAGACAAUUUGCAUUGGUAUGGGUUCUUGUAUAUUAACACAAGUGUAAAAUUAUCUUUCUGUUCCUGUUUAAUAUAAUUUGUAUAUUGAUACAAAUACAAAACUAUAUUUGCCAUACGGUACAUAUGUUCCUACUCCUGUUUAAAGUAUUUUAUAUAUUGAUACAAAUGUAAAAUUAUAUUUGUCAUACUGCAUAUAUGUUCUGAUGGUUUUUAGCGGCACUCUUACCCUGCGAGGAAAAGUCACAAAACACAAAAGAAUCCACUAACAAGAGUUUUAUUAAGACAAGGAGAAAGGGACAGAUGUGAUCAGGCCUGCUGAAGGGACACACGUGGGAGAAGGGGGUUCGGGAGACAUGGGGCCUGCCUUUUUAAGGGCCACCCUGCACAUACACACUCAGGCCCAUGUGGCUACUCCACACAUGCACAUAGAUCACAAGGUCACGCAGCAUGCAAUUACGUGACUGCUCAUGGGUUACGUAGGACAUAUGACCCAGAAAUGACUAAGUGUCCCACCAGGACAUGUGCGACCAUGGGGUUGUAGCUGAAAUUCUUAUCAUCCCAGACUCUUUGUUUUUAUAAAAGAUGGCAGAUGUGUAGCUGGAGUUUCCUCCAGUCCCAUGUGGGACCGCAGCUGUUCAGACUCAAGUAAACAAAGAGACUUAUAUUGCUUGUAAACUGUUUGGCCGUGGCAGUCUCCUUGCUAUCCAGUUUUUUUGUUUGUUUUUUUUUUUCUGAGACAGGGUUUCUCUGUGUAGCUUUGCGCCUUUUCCUGGAACUCACUUGGUAGCCCAGGCUGGCCUCGAACUCACAGAGAUCCGCCUGGCUCUGCCUCCUGAGUGCUGGGGCUAUCCAGUUCUUAUAUCUUAAAUUAACCCAUUUCUAUUAAUCUAUAAGUUGCCACGUGGCUUGUGGCUUACCGGCACUUUACAUCUUACUUCUCAUGGCGGCGGCGGCUGGCAACAUCUCCUGACUCAGCCUUCCACUUCCCAGAAUUCUCCUCUCUGCUUAUUCCACCUACACUAUACUUCCUGCCUGGCUACUGGCCAGUCAGCAUUUUAUUUACCAGUCAUUCAGAGCAGCACAUUCACAGCAAACAAAAAGACAUCCCCAGCACAGAUGAGUGGGUAUGGGUCAUUGUUUCUCCCAAAAACUGCUUCCAGCUGACUUGAUGGGUGUCGGUUGGUCUUGGAGGGUUAGGGAAGGGGGCUUCUGAGGUAGACAGGUGUCCUGGGAUGGUAGGCUGUUGUCUGCUGCCCUGGAGUUGCCCAUCCUUUCUGGCUUGGAACUCUUUGGCUGACAGGAUACUGGUGAGACAGAAAAAGCUUAGGAAAAAUAAUCAUUAUUAUUUUUAUUUUCUUUGGAGUGUUCCCAGACCAGGGAAUUUUGAGUUUGGCACUUAUCUGAAGUAGAUCUGACCUGUCCAGAUGGAUUUAAGCUGGUUUCUGGAGCUUGGGAAAAAUUUUGAACAUAUUAAGAAGCAGCCAUGAGAAAAUUAGUGACAAUUGUAGUGUUUGGUACUCUGUUUAAUUUUUACCUGAGAUAAGCUUUAUUAGAGGUAGAUUAUUUAAGGCACCUGUUUCCUUUAUUAGUUUAGCAUUCAGGAGACACAGGUGAUCAAUUGCUGAGAGCGUUCAACAGUGAUAGACUGUUAUAUUAAAGUCUGUUUUUGCAGAGCCCAGGCACUUUUGGGUCUGGGGGUAUAAAUACCUUUGGAUUAUUUUACUGUUUUUUUUUCCUUACCGCCUGGAUAUGUCUGAUGGUCCUUUUGCCUCCGGCUCUCUGGUGGCCCUAUAACAAUUAGCUGAGUGGUUAAUUAGGAAAGGAAGAGCUUAUGGAGUGAUACCUCAUUCCUCUGGAAUUGAUGACAAGGCAGUGGAUCCUGGUGUCCUCUGUGUCACUGUGUAUGAAGAGAGAUUUUUCUGUGGAGGUGAGAUAAAAGGUUUUAGAUGAGACAGGUGGACCCAGUGAGGAAAACCCUUGAGUUUAGCAGCUGUAGGAGUCAUAAGAAUUACCUUGAAGGGUCCCUGACAUUUAGGGGGGAGGGGUAAAGGGCACUGGCCUGGAGGGGAAAGAAGAACCUGAUCCCCAAUGUGGAUUGGGGGUGGGCAAGGACUGUCACAUGGCUGAGGUAAGGAGUAGUCUGUGUAGCUCCAUAGGAUAGAACUUAGGUGACAUAGCAGGGGAGUUAACAGGCUAUCUGGAACAGUUGGAGGGUUGGAUAGAAGACCUGGUGUUAGAACUGGCCUUCCAUACAUUAGUUCAAAUGGAGAGAUUGAAAGAGGCUUUUUAGGAAGAGUCCUGAGCCUGAAAAGAGCUAAAGAUAAUAAUCUUACCCAGUUGAGGUGAAGUUCCUGUGACAUCUUAAGUGAGAACAGAUUUUAAAGACUGGUUGGUGCACUCCACCUUUCCUGAGGACUGAGAAUGGUAUGGGAUAUGAAAAUGCCAAGGAAUGUUAAGAGCCUUAGCUAGUGUCUGAGAAAUCUGAGAGGUGAACUCCGGGCCAUUGUCAGACUGAAGGGAGGCAGGAAUCCCAAACCGAGGAAUAAUUUCUCGGAGAAGGAGAUCUGCAACUGUCUGAGCCCGCUUAUUAGAAACAGAGUAUGCCUCCACCCAAUUUGAAAAUGAGUCCACCAUCACGAGGAGAUAUUUAAUUUUCUUGAUAGUGGGCAUAUGGGUAAAACUGAGCUACCAGUCAGUCCCUGGAAGGGAACGUCUAGCCUGGUGGGUGGGAAAAGGCUGACUUCUGUACUUGGUAUUGGAGUCUGCUUUUUGGCAAAUCUCACAAGAGGCAGCAAUAGUUCUUAAGAACUGUAAGUCCUCAGAGGUGGGCUGCAGGUGGGCCUUUACGAAUUGAGACAGAGCAAGACUAUUAGGGUGAAAGAGCUGGUGUAGAUAGGACAGAAUUUGUCUAGUGUCAGGGGUUCCCUGAGAGGGUGUGAGCUGUACUGUAUGGAUUCCCUGCAGUGGGUGGGGUGAGAUUUGGUCCUGGAGCAUCCUGACUGCCUGGUCAGCCCAGUUAUUUCCCUUAGAGAUGAUGGAGCUAUCGGUCUGAUGAGACCGGCAGUGGACAAUUCCUAUAGCCUUGGGGAGGUGGGAAGCCUUUAGCAUGACCAUUAUUUGGCCUGAAUUAGAUAUGGAUCCCCCUUUUGCUGUGAGGAGGCCACGCUCCCUCCAAAUAGCAGCAUGGGACAGGAGGAUAUGAAAAGCAUAUUUGGAGUCUGUGUAAACAUUUAGAGAUUGUCCCUGUGCCAAUUGGAAGACACGGGUGAGAGCUAGCAGCUCAGCCUGUUGGUUAGUGGUGUAUGUGGAUAAUGCCUGUGCCUCUAUUAUCUCAGUAUCUGACACUAUGGCAUUACUAAAAAGGAGCUGCCAUCUGUGUACCAGGUAUAAGUAGCCUGAGGCAAUGUGCCCUCCUGUAUGUGUGAAGGGUGAGGUAACAGUUCCUCCAAGGUUUCAGUGCAGGAAUGAGAAGGAGAAUACUUAGUGUCCCUAAGGCCAUAGAUGGAUCUGUAACCAGGCACAGGCCACCAAGCAUCUCAUCAGACAUAAGGUGGGGGGCUAAGGCAUGUGAAGGCAAGGACUCCCCUGGAGUCUGACAGCACUUACUGCUUCAUCAAGCCAGAAAAAAAAAAAUGUGUCGGCCUUACACAGCCUGAAGACACACCCAAAGACGGGGAUCCAAUUGUGAGAAUUAUAUCUCAAACUGCAGACGUGGGAGAUGGCUAGAAAUUUUAGCCUGCGAUCGGGACCUACCGUAGCCAGUGAAGACCAUGGUCGGGGAUAACCCCAUCUCAGGAACACCAGUGGGGCGCCAGACAAUUGAUGAUCAUCCCCACAGAUCCAGGAGACAGUUUUCGAUGGCUGAAAAGUGGGAGACUCACCUAUCAAAGUAGCCAGUGUUGUGUGUAGGAUCCCACGGCCAGGCAAAUGGACAGUGGGCUGUUGUGGACGGAGCAGACUCCCCCGGUACAGGUUCCCAGGUACAAAGUGCCGAGAGUGCCCGUUGUGCACGGCACCAAUGAAGGUUUUUAGCGGCACUCUUACCCUUUGAGGAAAAGUCACACACAACAGAGUCUACUAAUAAGAGUGGACUAAUAUCUGAUUAAGAUAUUUUGUAUAUUGUCACAAUUUCAAGGUCAUUGUAUUUAUACUGUACAUCUGUUUACAGAUUGUUUACUCUUAUAAUGUUAAGCCUUAGUCUAAGUUAUUUAGGUUGAUAAGAUUUACAGGUUAAUAGUCACCCAUGCUUGUCAUAUUUAUAGUCAUUUUAAUUGGGAAUAAUACAGAAAUAUAUGUCAGAUGGAUAGAAAAUACUUCAUAGACCUAGAGAAUUCGGCAUUUAAAUGUUCUAAUGACUUAGAAUUCUGUUGACGUGAGACACAAUUGCUCCUGGCAGCACCAAUCUACUCCUGAGAGGAUGUUGGACAUUGAAGACACUCCAUAUGGAGUUUAUCUUCCUCUUGGCAAAAAAAAAAAAAUGGCCUGUUGGGCAAAGAACUGCCCUUGCCUCAACUGCUGACAAUAAGCACAUUUUCCAAUCUGGACAAGCAGGACACAAGGAAAAGCAACUGCUGAACCUUGCCAAGACAGGGUAAGACAGUCUCUCAAAAUUCCUGCUUCUGAAGAUGAGGUCUGUCAGAUAUUCUAGGUCUAUAGCCAAAAAAUGGAUGCCCCAAUGGUACUGAGAAACAUUAGGUGACUGUCCAGAUUGACAAGUGUCUCUGUCAUUUCUUGCCAUUUUUCAGAAGUUGCUCAUUUGCACUUCCUGUUUACUCAGGUAAUAUUUUCCUUCUCAGGUCUUAUGAUGGGCUUGAAGACUAGAUAGUUAUAGCUACAAUCUUCUCAUAUCUUAGCUAAGAACAUAUCAGAUACUAGAUUUAGGAUAUGACAGCUAUUGGAGUAAUCUCUGUAAUUUGCCAUUUAACUAUAGUCUGGACACUUAACAUGUGUUUCUUGCUUGAUGUUGUUAUUGUUGGUUGUAUUUCCAUUUUUGUUUAUGUUAUUAGCUUUUCCUUCUCUUAGACAAUAUUUGAUAAUCAUUCUUUUUUUUUAAGAUUUAUUUAUUUAUUAUGUAUACAGAAGAGGGUGCCGGAUCUCAUUACAGAUGGUUGUGAGCCACCAUGUGGGUGCUGGGAAUUGAACUCAGGACCUCUGGAAGAGCAGUCAGUGCUCUUAACCGCUGAGCCAUCUCUCCAGCCCCCUUGAUAAUCAUUCUUAUUGUAUGUAGUUUUAUAUUAGGUUUAGAACUUUCUUAUUUAGACAAAAAGGGGAAAUUGUAGUGGUAUUCGUUCCAUCUAUGGCCUUGGGGUACCAGCCCCGAGGGUGUGGCCUCUUGGCUAGCUUAAGACCUGGGGAGCACGUACAAGGGUCCCUUCUCUCCCGUGCUCUUGGAUGGUGGAGAUCAAAUCUGGUGGCAUGAAGCAGUGUAGAACCGGUUCUCAGUCUUCCAGGACUGAGACUCUGCAACUGAAUCUGCCAUAUCCUGUAUUAGUGAGUUUUCCCCCCAAUAUAAUCCUUUAAUAAACAGUUUUUUAUCAGUUAUCUGCAUGUUGUCUGCAUUACUUAUCUUCAGAAGAAAAUGCAGUCCAGGGUUCUGUGGUGUCUGGGGGUUUUCAGAGCUCCUCUUUAACUCUUCUGGGUAAGACACUGAACUUACUAAGAGCAAGCAGUCCAGUUACUAAACACAGCUGUUUCGGGAGCUUCUGGCAGUCCAAAACCCCUUGGAGUGCACGUCAGGGCCGAGUACAUGACUGACUCACCUCAAAGGUUAAAUCUUUACUAUCAACUUGACUGGAUGGAAGAUCACGCCCUCUGUAUUUGUGAAUGUUUCUAUAGAGGUCUAAAUGAGGAGGGAAACAUACCCUGAAUAUAGGCGACACCACCCCUUGGGGUGGGGUCACAGUUGAAUGAAAGGGAGAAAGGGAUUGAAAGUGACCUGAGAACCCGUUUCCUGACUACAGACUUGUGACAGCUACCUCUCCUGACAUCACAGAAUUUAUUCUUGUUGUCACAGUUUUCUCACGUGAUCUGGACACACAAACUAGAAGCCAAAGUAAACCCUUCCUUGAGCUGCCUAUGUCAAGUAACUGAUAGACCUUUCAAACAUUUCAGACCUUUCAAAGGCAGAGGCCGAAGUCUGUUGGCUCUCAGAAGAACACCCCAGGCAUCGAAGGUUUGGCUGCAGAAAUUUGGCAGCCCGCCUUGCUUGAUCUCCAGCUCAGACCACAUAUAUUCAGGGAGGCCCAUCUCUUUCACCCUAGCCCUGCUCUCUGAUUUUUCUGAUGACAUUCUUUUUUUUUUUUAAUCUUUCCUGGGGUUCUUAACCCCUAUGUGAUCUAAAGGCCCUAUAAUCCUAAAAACCAGUCCUGUUAGCCAGAUGCCCAGCACAAUAGCACUGGGAAAGCAAAGUCAUGGGACUGAAACCAGAAGAAAACCUAUUCAUGUGAGAAGCAGCUGGCAGCUGGAAACAGACUGAGAAAAGGAAGGCAGACCAGGCCCUACCUCCUACAGAUGGCUGGACUGGAGAUUUCAAAGCCAGUCUCAGCCUACCUAAGACCUCCUGUCCUCUCUCCUAAUAAAGGAGACAGUACUUAUCACAGCUCCCACCCUUCACUGAGGGGCUCUAUGGGGGUGAUCCACGAAAAGGAGCUUUGAGAUGGAAAGCCAUCAGGAGGGGAGGGGAAGAAUCCAGGCCCACAGUCAAGAACACACAUUGUGUAAUUCCACUUUCCAAUUAAAUACCAGAGAAACACCCUUACAGGUUUAUUGCUGUGCGUCGCAGCACAGGUGUGUGGGUUCAUGCAGCUCUGUGGAAUGAAGACUCAGAGGCAUCUUAUGAAUGAAUCUAGCCUUUCAUGACUGCAGGAGGGUCCAGCCUCGAAGGACUGAAGCCCCUUCCCUUCACCUAGGGCAUUUUUAUUUCUCUCCAUUACAGUUUAGCCAGUUAAUUUCCAUAUGCUCAAAACACCCUGAAAGGAGCUCCCAACAAUACAAUGCCAAGGGCAAACUCCUCGAUUUGUCAGGUACCAUGGUUUUCCAGGUUUCCUGAACCAAGUUUUGCAUAGGCCUUUGUAUCCUUGGGGACAAGAUUCACAUAGAGGGAAAUAAGGGAAACAAAAGGUGUCUUCCCAGCAAAAGAUGGAUUGGGGCUAGGUGCUACUCUCUGGAGCCAGGCCAGGUGCAGCUCAGCAGGAAUGUAGCCACAAGGGUUAUAUGUUUUUAUUAAAUGAUUUUAUUUAUUUUUAGAUGGCACAAGGAGGGCAUAUUUUUUCAUUGAAAAAAAUAGAAAUCACAUAUCACAAAAUUCUAAUAUAUAUACAGAAUGUAUACUAUAAUAUAAUAGGUACAUAAUUCUAAUACAUAUACAGAAUAUAUGCUAUAAUAUAAUAGGUACAUAAUCACUUUCAGCACUUCAUAUGCAUGGUUUUCAUGCACAAAAGACCAGACAAAACACAUUUCCAACAAUAGAGCAUAUACAUCUUUUUCCUCAUCAACAAACUUACUAUUUAAUCCUUCUCAAUGGUUAAGGAAUGCUUUAUCAUAUGCACAAGAAAUAACAGUUUAAAUCAAUUCCCUGUCUCUAUGCAUUUAGAUUUAGAUUGCUUGUAAGAAAACUUAAAUUCCUUUUGGAGUAUCAAGCAGAGGCUAAGGAGGUGAUUUCCCGUCCUGUUUAACAGUCCUCAACCCCAUUAUCCUACCCACCAGCCCACCGACUCAGUCCACUUUGGCUACUGUGCAUUUCUGCAUAAGUUUGCCUAGACUUUAACCUGGCAGAAUUUCAGGUGCUUCAUUGUCUGUGCUCCAUCCAUAAAUGUAUUACAGGGUGUGUCUUACCUUACUUGUUCUUCCUCUUAUCUCUUAAAGAAAACAGACCAUAGCUAAGGCAAAACAGGUGGCUUCAUCUGAAGUGUAUUUGCAGAAUGUAGUAUUGUAUAGUGGAACUCAGUUUCCCUAUUACAUUGUGAACAUGCACACACAUCUAUUGGAAUUUCCCGUCUGCUUAGACUGAGGAUCCUGCAGCUGGCUAUCAGGGAGCUGAAACCCCUACAGAGAGGAAGAAACACUAAGACAUGAACAUACAUACACAAGUACACAUACACUAGUGCAAGCCUGCUCUAGAGCCUUUACACUGGGAGACAAAAGGUGUCCAUAAAGAGACAAAGUCAUAGCUCACACUUUUCAGAGGAAGAACAGUUGGAACCUGCAGGCUGAACACAGUGAGUCUAACUCUACCCCAUUUGAUACUGCAUGCCAAUGUCAAAGGGGUUUGAGAGCACAGGACUGAUGCUCCUCCUCAGAUUGGGUUUUGUUGUUAUUUUCUUUGGUUGUUUCAGAUGGGCUUUUGUGUAGCUCAGGCUGGCUCAAACUCACUACGUAGUGGGGGAGGAAAAGCUGAUGAACUCCUGAUGUUCCUGCCUCACUUUCUGAUGUUAGUGUUGGGAUUACAGGUGUGUGCCACCAUGCCCAGAGUAUACAGCAAUGGGAGUUAAAUUACCAGCUGAGCUACAUGCCCAGUCCAAGUACAACUUCUUUUUGUGUGUGUUUGCAGGUGCAAAAGAAAUAGACAAAUUUCUAGAUUCAUCCAAACCACCAAAAUUAAACCAAGAAGAGAUCAACAAUAUAAACAGACCCCAAACAAAUUAGAUUUAAACCAUAAUUAAAAGCCUCCUGGCAAAAAAGAAAAAAAAAGUGUCCAGAUGCACUCACAGAAGAAUUCUACCAGACUUUCAGUGAUCUACAGCCAAUGUUUCUUAAUUUUUUUAAAAAUAGAAAACAGAAAGAGCACUCCCAAACUCCUUCUAUAAAGUCAGUAUCAUUCCAAUACCCAAAAUAGGCAAGGGAAAAAAAAAAACAGAGCCGGGCGGUGGUGGCGCACGCCUUUAAUCCCAGCACUCGGGAGGCAGAGCCAGGCAGAUCUCUGUGAGUUCGAGGCCAGCCUGGGCUACCAAGUGAGUUCCAGGAAAAGGCGCAAAGCUACACAGAGAAACCCUGUCUCGAAAAACCAAAAAAAAAAAAAAAAAAAAAGAAAAAAACAGAAAAGAAAACUACAGGUCCAUAUCCCUGAUAAACAUAGACUCAAAAAUUCUUGAUAAAACAUUUGCCAACCAAACACAGACAUACAUCAAAAAGAUUAUCCACCAUGACCAAGUUAGCUUAGUACAGGAAUACAAGAAUAGUUCAUUAUAAAUCAAUAAAUGUAACAAACCAAAUAAAGGGAUUUAAAGGCAAAAUUACAUGGUCAUCUCAAUAGAUGCUGAAAAGGCCUUUCAACAUGUCUAGCAACACCUAACAUCUUCAUGAUAAAAGUCUUAGAGUAGGACUGAUGGAACACACACCUCAAUAUAAUAAAAGAUACAUAUGAGAAACCCAUAGCCAACAUCCUAGAGGGAAAACUUGAAACAAUCCCACUGAAAUCAAGAAUGAGACUGUGCUUUCCAUAUCUGCUUUUCUUUUUUUUUUUUUUGGUUUUUCGAGACAGGGUUUCUCUGUGUAGCUUUGCGCCUUUCCUGGAACUCACUUGGUAGUCCAGGCUGGCCUCGAACUCACAGAGAUCCACCUGGCUCUGCCUCCCGAGUGCUGGGAUUAAAGGCGUGCGCCACCACCGCCCGGCCCAUAUCUGCUUUUCAAUAAUGUGUUUCAAGUACUAGCUGAAGCAAUCAAAGCAAGAGAAGGGAAUAGAAAGGAUACAGAUAGGAAAAGAAAAAAUCAAACUAUCUCUACUUGCAGAUGAUAGGAUAUUAUAUAUAAGAGAUCCCAAAAAUUGAACCAGAAAUCUUUGGGAAAUGAUCAACAAUUUCAGCAAAGUGGCAGGAUACAGAGUCAGCUUAAAAAAAUCAAUAGCUUUUUUUUUAAUGCACCAAUAAGAAACAGAGAAGAGAUCACAAUAUUCUCAAAUAGCCUCAAAGAAAUUGAAAUAUCUAGGAAUAAACCUAGUCAAGAAAGUGAAGGACCUCUACAAUGAAACUUUUAAAUCUCUGAAGAAAGAUCCAGAAAGACAUCCCAUAUUUGUGAAUUGUGAAAAUGACCAUUCUACCAAAUGCCAUUUACAAAUUCAAUGCAAUCCCAGUCAAACUCCCCAUCUCAUUCUUCACAGAAAAGGGGGAAAAAAAAAGUAAAA